rnacentral:rRNA from 1 species
UACGUAGGGGGCGAGCGUUAUCCGGAUUCACUGGGUGUAAAGGGAGCGUAGACGGCCAUGCAAGCCAGGGGUGAAAGCCCGGGGCCCAACCCCGGGACUGCCCUUGGAACUGCAUGGCUGGAGUGCGGGAGGGGCAGGCGGAAUUCCUGGUGUAGCGGUGAAAUGCGUAGAUAUCAGGAGGAACACCGGCGGCGAAGGCGGCCUGCUGGACCGCGACUGACGUUGAGGCUCGAAAGCGUGGGGAGCAAAUAGG